rnacentral:rRNA from 1 species
AUUGAACGCUGGCGGCAGGCCUAACACAUGCAAGUCGAGCGGAUGAAGGGAGCUUGCUCCUGGAUUCAGCGGCGGACGGGUGAGUAAUGCCUAGGAAUCUGCCUGGUAGUGGGGGAUAACGUCCGGAAACGGGCGCUAAUACCGCAUACGUCCUGAGGGAGAAAGUGGGGGAUCUUCGGACCUCACGCUAUCAGAUGAGCCUAGGUCGGAUUAGCUAGUUGGUGGGGUAAAGGCCUACCAAGGCGACGAUCCGUAACUGGUCUGAGAGGAUGAUCAGUCACACUGGAACUGAGACACGGUCCAGACUCCUACGGGAGGCAGCAGUGGGGAAUAUUGGACAAUGGGUGAAAGCCUGAUCCAGCCAUGCCGCGUGUGUGAAGAAGGUCUUCGGAUUGUAAAGCACUUUAAGUUGGGAGGAAGGGCAGUAAGUUAAUACCUUGCUGUUUCGACGUUACCAACAGAAUAAGCACCGGCUAACUUCGUG